CCUACGGGAGGCAGCAGUGGGGAAUUUUGGACAAUGGGGGCAACCCUGAUCCAGCAAUGCCGCGUGAGUGAAGAAGGCCUUCGGGUUGUAAAGCUCUUUUGUCAGGGAAGAAACAGCAGCUCUAACACAGCUGUGAAUGACGGUACCUGAAGAAUAAGCACCGGCUAACUACGUGCCAGCAGCCGCGGUAAUACGUAGGGUGCAAGCGUUAAUCGGAAUUACUGGGCGUAAAGCGUGCGCAGGCGGUUAUAUAAGACAGGUGUGAAAUCCCCGGGCUUAACCUGGGAAUUGCAUCUGUGACUGUAUAGCUAGAGUGUGUCAGAGGGGGGUAGAAUUCCACGUGUAGCAGUGAAAUGCGUAGAUAUGUGGAGGAAUACCAAUGGCGAAGGCAGCCCCCUGGGAUAACACUGACGCUCAUGCACGAAAGCGUGGGGAGCAAACAGGAUUAGAUACCCUGGUAGUCCACGCCCUAAACGAUGCUGACUGUUGUUCGGGAUUUUAUCCUGAGUAACGUAGCUAACGCGUGAAGUCNGCGCCGUGGUAGUUAGUUCGUCGAGAGUUAAACGUUAAAGGUUAAGUUAGACGGCGUUGAGACGNGCCGACGGACGACGACGAGGGAGGAGG
rnacentral:rRNA from 1 species